UUUACCGAAAGCAUCGUUGGUGAACUAUGGUCGUAAGUCCCAUUGAACUCUAUUGGUAACGACGGAACUUACGACCAUAGUUCGCUUUGGGAAACGCACCCCAGAGCCAUACAGUGAUGGAAGGGCGAGCGUCGCGGGUAAUUUGAAUGUAUUUCAGGGCAGGCUAUGCUUUUGGGUCGUGAGAUUAACAGUAGUGUAAAGCAAUCGUAAAGAGCAGUCGUCGUGGGCAGGAGAAUUUAUUUGAACACAUCCGUCUGUCCAUUCUUCGGAACAGUGUGAGGAAAAACGAAAAACUAACACGUCCUUUCAGCAAGAAGACCACAGCGGACAUCAUACCAACCGAUCACUGGCUGAGGUCAUGUGGAAAGACUGGAGAUCUACAGCAGCAUUGCAGUCCAGCCAGAUGAUCAACCAGUAGCUGCUCGCAUCUCAGCCUGCUUGAUGGAAAUUUCCGACUUUCACCUGGAUGACAUUUACCUUCAACUCCACCUUGCCAAGACAGAAGUUCUCGUGGUUUCAGCCACCCAUCCUUUGUGUUAUAAUCAAUCAGUUAAACUUCACAGACUACAGUGCUGGAACUGCCUGAUCUUGAAGAUAUGCCCAGUACAACAUUGGGAAGACCAGGCCAUUCUAUCCGUUCUAAUUCUAUCCAUUCUAUUCAGGCCAUCCUAUCGGAAAAUGCUACACAACAGAACAACAACUGGCUCUGCAAGCCUGUACCUAUACGCCCUCCAGAAGCUUGUGCUCUGAAAGUGAACAGCAUCUUGUGGUGCCAUCCCAAAG